rnacentral:rRNA from 1 species
UACAGAGGGGGCAAGCGUUAUUCGGAAUUAUUGGGCGUAAAGAGCUCGUAGGCGGUGUGUCGCGUCGGCCGUGAAAACUUGCAGCUUAACUGUGGGCGUGCGGUCGAUACGGGCAUCACUGGAGUUCGGCAGGGGAGACUGGAAUUCCUGGUGUAGCGGUGAAAUGCGCAGAUAUCAGGAGGAACACCGGUGGCGAAGGCGGGUCUCUGGGCCGAUACUGACGCUGAGGAACGAAAGCGUGGGGAGCGAACAGG